rnacentral:rRNA from 1 species
ACACAUGCAAGUCGAGGGGAAACGACAUCGAAAGCUUGCUUUUGAUGGGCGUCGACCGGCGCACGGGUGAGUAACGCGUAUCCAACCUGCCCAUCACUUGGGGAUAACCUUGCGAAAGUAAGACUAAUACCCAAUGACGUCUCUAGAAGACAUCUGAAAGAGAUUAAAGAUUUAUCGGUGAUGGAUGGGGAUGCGUCUGAUUAGCUUGUUGGCGGGGUAACGGCCCACCAAGGCGACGAUCAGUAGGGGUUCUGAGAGGAAGGUCCCCCACAUUGGAACUGAGACACGGUCCAAACUCCUACGGGAGGCAGCAGUGAGGAAUAUUGGUCAAUGGACGAGAGUCUGAACCAGCCAAGUAGCGUGCAGGAUGACGGCCCUAUGGGUUGUAAACUGCUUUUAUAAGGGAAUAAAGUUAGUCUCGUGAGACUUUUUGCAUGUACCUUAUGAAUAAGGACCGGCUAAUUCCGUGCCAGCAGCCGCGGUAAUACGGAAGGUCCGGGCGUUAUCCGGAUUUAUUGGGUUUAAAGGGAGCGUAGGCCGGAGAUUAAGCGUGUUGUGAAAUGUAGACGCUCAACGUCUGCACUGCAGCGCGAACUGGUUUCCUUGAGUACGCACAAAGUGGGCGGAAUUCGUGGUGUAGCGGUGAAAUGCUUAGAUAUCACGAAGAACUCCGACUGCGAAGGCAGCUCACUGGAGCGCAACUGACGCUGAAGCUCGAAAGUGCGGGUAUCGAACAGG